GGCCGCGUAGCGUAAUGGUUAACGCGCCACUUUCCGGGGUUAUUAGGUGGAGAUUGCAAGUUCGAUCCUUGCCGUGGUCG